rnacentral:rRNA from 1 species
GACGAACGCUGGCGGCGUGCUUAACACAUGCAAGUCGAACGAGUGGCGAACGGGUGAGUAACACGUGGGUGAUCUGCCUUGCACUUCGGGAUAAGCUUGGGAAACUGGGUCUAAUACCGGCUAGUGCAAGAGGAGGUCGGGGCCGAUCAGCUUGUUGGUGGGGUAAUGGCUACCAAGGCGCGAAGGGUAGCCGGCCUGGGAGGGUGUACGGCCACAUGGGGCCUGCGAUACGGCGCAGACGCCUACUGGAGGCAGCAGUGGGGAAUAUUGCACAAUGGGCGGAAGCCUGAGGUAGCGACGCUGGGUGGGUGAUGAAGGCCUUCGGGUUGUAAACUCCUUUCGACAGGGACGCGGUACCUGUAUAAGAAGCACCGGCUAACUACGUGCCAGCAGCCGCGGUAAUAC